rnacentral:rRNA from 1 species
GAUGAACGCUGGCGGCGUGCCUAAUACAUGCAAGUCGAGCGAACGGACGAGAAGCUUGCUUCUCUGAUGUUAGCGGCGGACGGGUGAGUAACACGUGGAUAACCUACCUAUAAGACUGGGAUAACUUCGGGAAACCGGAGCUAAUACCGGAUAAUAUUUUGAACCGCAUGGUUCAAAAGUGAAAGACGGUCUUGCUGUCACUUAUAGAUGGAUCCGCGCUGCAUUAGCUAGUUGGUAAGGUAACGGCUUACCAAGGCAACGAUGCAUAGCCGACCUGAGAGGGGGAUCCGCCACACUGGAACUGAGACACGGUCCAGACUCCUACGGGAGGCAGCAGUAGGGAAUCUUCCGCAAUGGGCGAAAGCCUGACGGAGCAACGCCGCGUGAGUGAUGAAGGUCUUCGGAUCGUAAAACUCUGUUAUUAGGGAAGAACAUAUGUGUAAGUAACUGUGCACAUCUUGACGGUACCUAAUCAGAAAGCCACGGCUAACUACGUG